CACGUAGGGGGCGAGCGUUUUCCGGAUUUAUUGGGCGUAAAGAGCUCGUAGGCGGCUCGGUAAGUCGGGUGUGAAAUUUCAGGGCUCAACCCUGAAAAGCCACCCGAUACUGCUGUGGCUAGAGUCCGGUAGGGGAGUGGGGAAUUCCUGGUGUAGCGGUGAAAUGCGCAGAUAUCAGGAGGAACACCAGCGGCGAAGGCGCCACUCUGGGCCGGUACUGACGCUGAGGAGCGAAAGCGUGGGGAGCAAACAGG
rnacentral:rRNA from 1 species